AGAGUUUGAUCCUGGCUCAGGAUGAACGCUAGCUGGAGGCUUAAUACAUGCAAGUCGAGCGGGAUUGGUAGCAAUACCAUGAGAGCGGCGCACGGGUGAGUAACGCGUACACGACCUACCUCUGACAGGGGGAUAGCCCUGGGAAACUGGGAUUAAUACCGCAUAUUAUUCUGAUUAAUAAAGGAUUGGAAUGAAAGUUCAGGCGGUCAGAGAUGGGUGUGCGUCUGAUUAGCUAGUUGGUAGGGUAACGGCCUACCAAGGCGAUGAUCAGUAGGGGGCGUGAGAGCGUGAUCCCCCACACGGGUACUGAGACACGGACCCGACUCCUACGGGAGGCAGCAGUAAGGAAUAUUGGACAAUGGCCGCAAGGCUGAUCCAGCCAUCCAGCGUGCAGGAAGAAGGCCCUAUGGGUUGUAAACUGCUUUUAUCAGGGAAUAAACCUCUGGAUUCACUCCGGAGCUGAAGGUACCUGAAGAAUAAGCACCGGCUAACUCCGUGCCAGCAGCCGCGGUAAUACGGAGGGUGCGAGCGUUAUCCGGAAUUACUGGGUUUAAAGGGUGCGUAGGCGGCUUUGUAAGUCAGGAGUGAAAGUUUGCGGC
rnacentral:rRNA from 1 species